UAUCCUUUUUGUUGCAGUGGUAAAUGUGAGUGUUUUCUUGAUUUCACUUUCAGAUUUCUCAUCAUUAGAGUAUGUAAUGCCAGAGAUUUCUGUGCAUUAAUUUUGUAUCCUGCUACUUUACCAAAUUCAUUGAUUAGCUCUAGUAGUUUUCUGGUAGCAUGUUUAGGAUUCUCUAUGUAUAGUAUCAUGUAAUCUGCAAACAGUGAAAGCUUUACUUCUUCUUUUCCGAUUUGGAUUCCUUUUAUUUCCUUUUCUUCUCUGAUUGCUGUGGCUAAAACUUCCAAAACUGUGUUGAAUAAGAGUGCUGAGAGUGGGCAGCCUUGUCUUGUUCCUGAUAUUAGUGGAAAUGCUUUCAGUUUUUCACCAAUGAGAACAGUGUUGGCUGUGGUUUGUCAUAUAUGGCCUUUAUUAUGUUGAGGAAAGUUCCCUCUAUGCCUACUUUCUGCAGAGUUUUUAUCAUAAAUGGGUGUUGAAUUUUGUCGAAAGCUUUCUCUGCAUCUAUUGAGAUGACCAUAUGGUUUUUCUCCCUCAAUUUGUUAAUAUGGUGUAUCACGUUGAUUGAUUUGCAUAUAUUGAAGAAUCCUUGCAUUCCUGGAAUAAACCCCACUGAUCAUGGUGUAUGAUCCUUUUAAUGUGCUGUUGGAUUCUGUUUGGUAGUAUUUUGUUGAGGAUUUUUGAAUCUAUGUUUAUCAGUGAUAUUGGCCUCUAGUUUUCUUUCUUUGUGACAUCCUUUCCUGGUUUUGGUAUCAGGGUGAUGGUGGCCUCGUAGAAUAAGUUUGGGAGUGUUCCUCCCUCUGCUAUAUUUUGGAAGAGUCUGAGAAGGAUAGAUGUUAGCUCUUCACUAAAUGUUCGAUAGAAUUCACCUGUGAAGCCAUCUGGUCCUGGGCUUUUGUUUGUUGGAAGAUUUUUUUUUUUUUUGCGGUACCCGGGCCUCUCACUGCUGUGGCCUCUCCCGUCAUGGAGCACAGGCUCUGGACGUGCAGGCUCAGCGGCCAUGGCUCAUGGGCCCACGCUCCGCGGCAUGUGGGAUCUUCCCGGACCGGGGCACAAACCCGUGUCCCGUGCAUCGGCAGGCAGACUCUCAACUGCUGCACCAGCAGGGAAGCCCCUGUUGGAAGAUUUUUAAUCACAGUUUCAAUUCCAGUGCUUGUGAUUGGUCUGUUUAUAUUUUCUAUAUCUUCCUGAUUCAGUCUUGGCAGGUUGUGCAUUUCUAAGAAUUUGUUCAUUUCUUCCAGGUUGUCCAUUUUAUUGCCAUAGAGUUGCUUGUAGUAAUCUCUCAUGAUCUUUUGUAUUUCUCCAGUGUCAGUUGUUACUUCUCCGUUUUCAUUUCUAAUUCUAUUGAUCUGAGUCUUUUCCCUUUUUUUCUUGAUGAGUCUGGCUAAUGGUUUAUUAAUUUUGUUUAUCUUCUCAAAGAACAGCUUUUAGUUUUAUUGAUCUUGGCUAUUGUUUCCUUCAUUUAUUUUUCAUUUAUUUCUCAUAUGAUUUUUACGAUUUCUUUCCUUCUGCUAACUUUGUUUUUUUUUUGUUGUUGUUCUUCUUUCUCUAAUUGCUUUAGGUGCAAGCUUAUGUUGUUUAUUCGAGAUGUUUCCUGUUUCUUAAGGUAGGAUUGUAUCGCUAUAAACUUCCCUCUUAGAACUGCUUUUGCUGCAUCCCAUAGGUUUUGGGUUGUCGUGUCUCCAUUGUCAUUUGUUUCUAGGUAUUUUUUGAUUUCCUCUUUGAGUUCUUCAGUGAUCACUUCGUUAUUAAGUAGUGUAUUGUUUAGCUUCCAUGUGUUUGUAUUUUUUACAGAUCCUUUUCUGUAAUAUAUAGCCUCAUAGCAUUGUGGUUGGAAAAGAUACCUGAUACAAUUUCAGUUUUCUUAAAUUUACCAAGGCUUGAUUUGUGACCCAAGAUAUGAUCUGUCCUGGAGAAUGAUCCAUGAGCACUUGAGAAAAAUGUGUAUUCUGUUCUUUUUGGAUGGAAUGUCGUAUAAAUUAAGUGCAUCUUUUUUAAUGUAUCAUUUAAAGCUUGUGUUUCCUUAUUUAUUUUCAUUUUGGAUGAUCUGUCCAUUGGUGAAAGUAGGCUUGUUAAAGUCCCCUACUAUGAAUGUGUUACUCUUGAUUUCCCUUUUUUUUUUACUUUAUUAUUAUUAUUUUUGGUUUCCCCUUUUAUGGCUGUUACUAUUUGCCUUAUGUAUUGAGGUGCUGCUAUGUUGGGUGCAUAAAUAUUUACAAUUGUUAUAUUUUCUUCUUGGAUCGAUCCCUUGAUCAUUAUAUAGUGUCCUUCUUUGUCUCUUCUAAUAGUCUUUAUUUUAAUGUCUAUUUUGUGUGAUAUGAGAAUUGCUACUCCAGCUUUCCUUUGGUUUCCAUUUGCAUGGAAUAUCUUUUUUCCAUCCCCUCACUUUCAGUCUGUAUGUGUCUCGAGGUCUGAAGUGGGUCUCUCGUAGACAGUAUAUAUAUGGGUCUUGUUUUUAUGUCCAUUCUAUAUAUCUAUAUAGCUAGUCUGUGUCUUUUGGUGGGAGCAUUUAAUCCAUUUACAUUUAAGGUAAUUAUCGAUAUGUAUGUUCCUCUUCCCAUUUUCUUAAUUGUUUAUUAAUUGUUAUUAUAGUUGAUUUCCUACUCUUGUGUUUCUUGCCUAGAGAAGAUCCUUUAACAUUUGUUGUAAAGCUGGUUUGGUGGUGCUGAACUCUCUUAGCUUUUGCUUGUCUGUAAAGGUCCAUGCUUUUAGCCGUGGCUCGCACCCCUCUCUGGGGUCUGCGUUUUUAGCCGCAGCUCGCGCUCGUCUCUGGGGUCCGCGUUUUUAGCCGCGGCUCGCGCCCAUCUCUGGAGUACCUUUAAGCAGCGCUCUUAAACCCCUCUCCUCGCGCACCAGGAAACAAAUAGGGAAGAAAAAGUCUCUUGCGUCUUCGGCAGCUCCAGACUUUUUCCCAGACUCCCUCCCUGCUAGCCGUGGUGCGCUAACCCCUUCAGGCUGUGUUCACGCCACCAAUCCUCUCCCUGCGCUCCCACCGAAGCCCGACCCUCAGCUCCCAGCCCCGCCCGCCCCGGCUGGUGAGCAGACAAGGCUGGUGAGUGCUGGUCGUCACCGAUCUUAUUUGCGGAAAUCUCUCUGCUUUGACCUCUACACCCCUGUUGCUGUGGUCUCCUCCGUGGCCCCGAAGCUCCCCCCCCCGCCACCUGCAGCCUCUGCCCGCGAAGGGCCUUCUAGUGUGUGGAAACCUUUCCUCCUUCACGGCUCCCUCCCACUGGUGCAGGUCCCGUCCCUGUUCGUUUGUCUCUGUUUAAUCUUUUUUCUUUUGCCCUACCCAGGUACAUGGGGAGUUUCUUGACUUUUGGGAGGUCUGAGGUCUUCUGCUAGCAUUCAGUAGGUGUUUUUUGGGUGUUCCACGUGUAAAUGUAUUUCUGAUGUAUCUCGACCUUUUUUCCAGCCUUCUCUUUGGAUUCAUGGUGCAUGUGUCUCUAUUCAUUUCUGGAGGCUUAAAGUCCAAGAUCCAGGUGUGGGCAGGACUAGUUUCAUUCUGAGGCCCCUCUCCUUGGCUUGCAGAUGGCUGCCUUCCCCCUGUGUCCUCAUAUGAUCAUCCCUCUGUGUCAGCUCUGUUCUUCUUCUCCAGAUUGUUUCAGCUAUUUGGGCUUGUUUGUUUUUCCGUACAAAUCUUAAAAUUAUUCUAGUUUUGUGAAAAAUGCCAUUGGUAGUUUGAUAGGGAUUGCAUUGUAUCUGCUGAUUGUGUUGGGUAUUAUGGUUAUUUUAACAAUAUUAAUUCUUCCAAUCCAAGAAUAAAGUAUAACUUUCCAUCUUUUACAGUAUGCAGGUAAAGCUCUUUCAGGGAACAAUUGGGAGAUGGGUAAUUUUGCUUUCUCCUUCUCACUGAGCCUAGGGGAUAGCCAGCUAGGAAUUGCUCCUUUGUUUUCUAUGGUCCUGUGGAACUUGUGAAUGGAACCCCCUUUAACUAUAAGACUGAUGGUCUGCUGACCCAUUUCUCGGGCAGAAGCUAUGAAAUCUUGGGUGUAGGCAUGUGUACAAGGCCAUUCCAGGGAGAUACUAGGAAAUUAGAGCCAUCUGGAGUGGGGAGGAGUGGUGUCCACUUCCCCAUUCUCUGGGGAGGAUCACAGCCAGCCCCUAGUGCCUGCUAAGUUAGAAGACUGGCCUUUAGGCGGCAGCUUUUUAAGUAUGCAGAUACUCUUUCAGGGGAAAACUGUGAGGUGUACAAUUUUGCCUGUUCCCUCUAUGCUGAUUGCUGGAAUGAUAGCCUUGGUGAGUGCUUACGUGCUUAUUAAGAAUUGUUUCUUUUUUUGCUAUACUGUUGUAAGUCUUGUGGAUACAAGCUCCAUUGGUUUUUAGAGCAAGGGAUUUUGUGAGCUUGUCCCUCUAGUGGGUCUUAGCAGUUGGUGUGCUAGAUAUGGAGUCCAAGCCCUUUGGUUUUCAGGGAGAAGCUAGAAGUUGAGACUUCUCUCCUGAUUGUAAGGCACUGUGCUGUGGGUGGAGUUGAUGCCAAGAGUGUGGAAAGAACAGCCUUUCCUACCUGUUUUGAUGUGCGUAUUUUCUCAUUUGUCCUACUUGUAGGAGUUGUUCAGCUAGUUUCUGGGUCCCUUUCAGAGUAAAUUGCUCCACGUGUAGCUGUACAUUUGGUAUGUCUGUAUGAGGAGGGGAGCUCCUUCGUCACCAUCUUGUUGACUCCCAAUUCCUAAAGUUUUGUAUCUUGCUUUUCAGUCAAAAUAUUUCCCUUUGCUCUAAUACUGUUUUUUGAAACUUGAAGUACUUUCUUUAAUAAGAAUUUAAUCUUCCAAAUUUUCUUAGAUUUGGGUAGGAUGCCCCAUGUUAAUGAGAGUAAAAAUAUUUUUUCCUGUCAAAACUUCCUGAGGUGUGGGAACAAUAUUCUAGGGUUGCAUUUCAAUCUUGUGCUGACUUACUCUUGCAAGUAAGGAUUGCUUAACUCUAAAACUGAACUAAGUUAAGAUCAUACAAUUAUGAAAAAUCAGAGAAACUUUUAUUAGCUACACAAAUUUCGUUAGCUAUACAAAUAUAUGUCCUUCAUUGUUUCCUUUUAUUCUUCAAAGAUAUUUUAUGGUAUGGAUUUCUAAUUUUCAUUAUGAUCAGUGAAUAUAUUCUAUGUUAUUUGAGAGAUUUUUAAAGAUUUUGGCCUGGUAUAUGGUUUAUCUUGGUGAAUAUGCCAUAGACACUUAAAAUGUGCAUUCAUUCUAAAGUUGUUGGCUAUAGUGUUUUAUAAAUGCCCAUUAGGUUUAAAUGGUUAAUAUAUAUUGUUCAUAUCUUCUAUGAUUGAUAUUGUGUUUUGGUCUAUAAAUUACUGAAAAAGUAGAGUUUAAAGUCACCAACUAUGAUUGUGGAUUUGUCUGUUACUCCCCUUAUUUCUGUCAGUUUCAUUUCAUGUAAUCUGAAACUUUGUUAUUAGUCAUAUAAAUUUUUAUGAUGAUUAUGUCUCCCGUAUAAAUUGACCCUCUUAUAUUAUGAAAUGUCUCUAUCUCUGGUAAUACAUUAACUUGAAGUUUACUGUAUCAGAAAUUAAUAUAACUACUCUAGGUUUCAUAUGCUUUCUGUUAGUAUGGUGUAUCUUUUCAUCUUUUCUUCCUUUUAACCUAUAUCUUUAUGUAUAAAAUAUUGUCAUUAGAUGGCAUAUAGUUGGGUUAUGUUUAACUGUUAACAGUUGGAGUGUUUAUUCAAUGUUCACCUAAUAUAAUUAUUGAAAAAGCGGAUUUAAGUCCACCUCUUUUAUUGUUUUUUUCUUUGUAAGUGUGUACUCCUUAUCAGUGUCUAUCUUCUGUUUUUUGUUCUUCCCUUCUUCUCUGUCUUGCUUUUGAUUGUUUCAUUUUUUUUUUCCAGAAUUCCAUUUUCCUUUACUUUUUUUUUUUUUUUUGCAGUACGCGGGCCUCUCACCGCUGUGGCCUCUCCCGUUGUGGAGCACAGGCUCUGGACGCGCAGGCUCAGUGGCCAUGGUUCAUGGGCCCAGCCGCUCUGCGGCAUGUGGGAUCUUCCCGGACAGGGGCACGAACCCGUGUCCCUUGCAUCAGCAGGCGCACUCUCAACCACUGCGCCACCAGGGAAGCCCUCCUUUAAUUUUUUAACUCUACCUUUUUGUAGUUUUUUAGUGGUUUUCUAGUGAUUGCAAUAUGCAUGUUUAGUUAUUUCACUCUUUAAGACCAUUAAAUCACUUCACAUAAACAGAAGAAUCUUGGAAACAUACAUACCUAUUUACUUAGUCUCUGCCCCCUGUUAUGCUAGAGGUGUCAUAUAUAUUAUAUCUAUAUCUACUCUAAACCAUAUAGCCAAUGGAAUAAUUGUUUUAAAUAGGUAUAUUUAUUUUUAAGAAUUUAAGAGGGAAAAUAUUUCAUAAUUACCCACAUAUUAACCAGUUUUAAAGCUUUUCAUUCUAUUCGGAAGACCCAUGUUUCCUUCUGUUAUCAUUAUUUAUCUUCCCAAAGAGGUUUCUUUAGCACCAGUUGUACUGGUGAUAAUUUUUCUUCGUUUUCUUUUAUCUGACAGUGUCUUUUUUUUAGUCCUCUUUAUUGAGGAAUAUAGUUACUGAAUAUAGAAUUAUUAACAUUUUCCCCUAGUACUUUAAAGAUAAUAUUCCAUGGUUUUCUCUGCUUCAUUGAAAUAAAAUCCAUUUUAUUAGUUGGUAUAGAAAAUAGUUGAAGCAAAAGUUUAGGCUAGCAAAGCAGGAUGUGAUAGAUACUUUGUUAUGAAGAGUUCUUAACUAAACAGUUUGUUUUUAUGUGUUGCUCUCUGUGUCUCUUGACAGUUUUGAAAAAUGAGCUCCCUUUGACAGGGAGUUGGUUUUAUUUAUAUUCUUGUCUUACCCAGAAAGUCAUACAGAAAAUAAUCAUUCCACACUUUUAAAUGGCUAGUUUUGCUUUCGUGGUAUUUACAAUAAAAUAAUAAGUUAGUUAGAGAGUAAAUGGAUGACUCUAAGAGAAAAAGCAAGGUAAAAAGAUUGGAGUGAAUUGAUGUUAGAAAUAUUUCAUUUAAUUAAUUGAUAAUAUUACCAUUUGGUCAAGGCAUAGAAAUACGGAAUAGUUUGUGAAUUGUGCUGUGAUGUAAACAUUUGGUAUGAGUUCUCUUAAAACAGAAUUGAUCCAUCUCUUGAAAUAACUCUCUUUAUUGAAGAUAAGUGGGACAUGGGUACGUCACAACCUCUGAAUUUAGGGAGGAUGAAAUUAACCUUUGAAUUGUAUGUUUUUGAUUUGAAUGGCAUAUUUUUUUGCUUUCACAUGAUUCCCACAUGUGAACUUCCAUGACAAUCAUACAGGAAAGAGGAAGCUGUUGUAGUUUUUGCAAUGUACAUUGUCACCAAAACAUACUACCAUCCUUGAUCUUACGAGAAAUUUAGAAAUAAUAUUCCAAUAGACAUAUAAGAUAAAUAAGUUUCUGUGGAAGCAGAAGUGCUCAGUUUUGAGAAGCACUUUGGUGUUGUAAUGUCUUAUGUUAAUGAUUCUCAAAUUCUGCGCCAUUCUACUUUAUCAUCUAUCUGUCUGUCUAUCACUUUAUCUUCUGUAUUUAUCUGUAUAUCUCUGCCUAUCAUCUGCCUAUUAACUUAAUAGAUAAGUUAUCAUUCAAGUUCAGUCACCCAUCUUAUAAACGAUCUUUUGUGUAUCAUCAAUUUAUCUAUCUCUCCAUCCAUGCCUUUAUUAGGUAUAAUAGGCAGAAGAGCAUGGCAAUAGAAAAACAAGGGGUUUACCUCCCAUGUGAAAGGACAGUGAUAACAGUGGUCUCUGAAGUGAUGAUGUAUAAGGAGAAAACAAGAAGAGAACAUGAGGACUGAGGACCAGUAACUCAGGGACCCAUCUAGCAGGAACUCUGGACUUACUACUAUGCUCACAUUUGAAAAAUCAAAAUAGAGUUGCCUAUAUUCUGUGUCAGCUUACGUGAGAAAAUUUCAUCUAAAUAUGAUAGCUCUGCCUUUUCAGUCCACCUAUGCUUCCAUAUUUUAAAACUCAGUUUUAAUUACAUGGAGCUAUCACCUCAGUUUACUUUAAACUAGACCAUGGAUUGGUAAACCUUUUCUGUAAAAGGCCAAAUAACAAAUGAUUUCAGCUUUUUAGGAUUUAUGAACUCUGUUACAGCUAAUCUACUCUUCUAUUGUAGUGUGAAAGCAGCUAAACACAAUGUGCCAUUGAAUGAGUGUGGCUGUGUUCCAGUAAUACUUUAUUUACAACAGCAGGCUGUGGGCUUGAGUACCAUAUGCUGAACUAGAGCAUUGGUUAAAUCAGAACCUGGAAAAUAAUCGGAUGAACCCCACUACAUGGUAAAAAGAUCUGAAAAUUAUUUCCCUAUUUUAUUUUCAUGAAAAUUAUUUUAGUUCCUCUGCUAAAUCUCACUCAUAAGAGAGUGCUAUAAAUGAAUACUACAUGCCAUCAUAACCUAAACAAUGUAAAACUGUAUAAGUGACUGGAAUGAUAUGAACCCCUUUCCAGUUGUAACCAAUAAAUUAUAUUUUUAAGUUGAGCAUAUUUCUCCCACAUUCCAUUUAUAAAGUCCGCAAGGAUUGUGUCCAAAAUCUUGCCUGCCUUCUUUUCCCCUUCAGCACGUUUCAAGUCAAAAUGUUAUCUAUCAGUUUUCUUGGUGGUAUCCAGUCUCCUUAGGCAUUGACUUCAGUCUAUUUUGACAUCAUUUGAACAGUUUUUGUAAUUGUUUCAACAUCUCAGAAUAGGAUUUGUAUCUUCCAAGGCUGUUAUGUGACCUAGUUUGUAAAAAUGUGGAAGAUUCAACAGUAUAAAUAGCUAAUGGAUACAAUCUUUAAUCCAGUUAAACUGUGUUUUCCAAGUUUUCUUCAUGUUAUCUGUAUUGGAGGGUUUAGAGGAGAGAAAAAGUAUCUAAAAUGCACUAACUUAAAAUUAAAUUGGGCUAUUGCUUAUUCUGCAGUCAACUGAAAAUGUACCUGUAUAUUUACAUAUAUGACCAGUUUAGUGUUAAUAUUCUAUGAAAGGCUCACCCAAAUCAAUUAGAAAAAGACAAACAUUCCAGUACAAAAGUGGGAAAACACAUAAAUGAGCAGUUCAUAAAAGGUAAGUAUUGUGAAUGGCCAAGAACACAUAAAAAUAUACUCAACCAUAUCUAUCUUUAUAAUGAAAUAUUAAAUAUAUAUUAAAUAAUUAUCAAUCAUUAUACAUAUAUAAUGAAAUAAAUAUAUGGGUGUUUAAACACAGACAGAAACACACAUAAUUUAUAAUAAUAAAAUAAAUCAACAGUUACUUUUUCACCUAUUAGAUUAACAGGCACAUUUGUUAACAAAGUCUGGAGAAUUUGGGACUCCUUGUGUGUUACAGUCUUUCCAAUUGACAGUGGAAAAAUAUGUAUUAGAUGGAAAUUAGCACAUUUUGACUAACAAUUUUAUUUUUAGAAAUUUACCUAUAAGAUAUAAUAGGGAGUGUUCAAAUGUGUAUAUAAACUCAAGGGUACUCGUGACAGCCUAAGUUAUACUUGUAAAAUGAUAAGUAAUCUGUUUAUCAAGUCAUAAUGCUAGGUAAAUUAAUGAUGAUUCAUUUAUCUAAUUGAAUUGUAUUUAGUUAUAUAUGGUAAUGUAUACUGAAAUUAAUUGAUAAGAACAUUCAGGUUUUUCAGAAGUUCAUUUGUCCAUAAGUUACUGAAUAUCAACUAUGUUUGAGGCAUUAAUACUGUAUUUCACUCACAUAAAAUGAUAUAUAUAUGUGAUUGUUUGGAUAUGGUCAAUAAACCAAUUUUACAGGAAGAAUGUUCAAAAACUGUUGAUGGUGAGUUUGGGUCAUUAUUUUACUAUUAUCUCUGUGUGUGUGUGUGUGUGUGUGUGUGUGGUGUAGUUUCAAAUCUAUAUAUUUCAAUUAUAUAUACCAAUUAUUGAAUUCUUAGUAUGUGUACUACCACAUGCUGAGAUAAAUACUUUUUCAUGGAUUAUCUCAUUUAAUGCUAAUAAUAACCAUAAUAACAGAUUAAGAUAUUCAUUCCUUUUUAUAAGAUAAGAAGAUAGAGACUGAGUUUGAAACUAAAUUUGAUUGUACAAGUCAUUCUGUUACUCACAACUUAAAAAAACCCACACAGUGUCACAGCCUUUGGUAGAUGAUAAUUAAAAAUAGUUAUAUUUUGCUAAAUCUUCCCAUGUUUGGGGAAAAGACGCACAUUUCUGAGGUCAUAUUUGUUUUCUCUGUGUUGUUAAGGUCAGAGCCAUGAGAAUUCUCAAGUUUAGUUCUUUAGGCUAAAAAGUAUGUGUUGAGAUAUUGUCAGAACAGGAGAAAAAGAUGAAUAGGACAUUGGUUUGUGGAAAAUUACGUGGUAUAAAUCUACACAGAAUGACCUCUAAAAAUAUGGGGCACCAGUGCUUAGGUGGUGGGACAGUGUUCUUCAGCAGAAACCAUUUCAUAGCUAGAGAAUGGGGCACAGAUCAAAGUCCAAAGAGAAAUGGCCAGUAAGUGGAGUAUCAGUAAAUGGAAGAAAUCAACUUUGGAUCAGACUUGGUGAUAGGCAAUACCAAGACAAAUACUGUAGAUAGCAGGGAAAGGACCAAUGAAGAUCUUUAGAUAGCAGGGAAAAGACCAACGAAGAUCUUGGAGUGAAGAAAUAAUCCCCAACCGAUAUAGAUUCAAAUGCCAUAAUCUCCUAUUGGAAUAUUUUUCAAAUUGUACUUUAUGACCAUAUGGUCUGGAUUAUAAACUAUCUACUUCAUAUGAAUAUGUGUUCCAUAAUCAAUUCAAUUUUCUCCAGUUAUCUGUAUUCAUUCUAACACUUUUCUAAAGACAACACUGUGUCUUACAAGUAUGGUUUAUUAGUAAUUCUCAUCUGGUAGCUAAAAUGUUGGCCAGAAUGAUAAGCAGAGUGAAUUGUGACAUAAGUUUUGCCUGACUGUGCCAUAGCAGUGGCUAAGGUAUGUUUAAAAAUUUGGGUGGUUUAUAGCAAGGUAUGUGCUAUACUAUUCUAACUUUGCCUUUUUAUCUUCUGGUAUCUUGAGGGGAAAUGGACCUACAUAAGAUAUGCACAGUUGGGGCUCUGUAACGUUGAGAAUACUGAAGGAGGAAGAUAAGUACAGAAGGAAAAACCAGUCAUAUAUGGGUAAAAGGCUAGAAAGUUAUCAUACUUCAAGGAAGAAAGAAGGGCUGAAAUGAGGGCCUCCACUUCAGAGAAUAGGGUACGCGGGCCUCUCACUGUUGUGGCCUCUCCCAUUGCGGAGCACAGGCUCCGGACGCGCAGGCUCAGCGGCCAUGGCUCAUGGAACCAGCCGCUCCGCGGCAUGUGGGAUCUUCCCAGACCGGGGCUGAACCCGUGUCCCCUGCAUCGGCAGGCGGACUCUCAACCACUGCGCCACCAGGAAAGCCCUCUUUCUUCAUUUUUUUUUUAACAUCUUUAUUGGGGUAUAAUUGCUUUACAAUGGUGUGUUAGUUUCUGCUUUAUAACAAAGUGAAUCAGUUAUACAUAUACAUAUGUUCCCAUAUCUCUUCCCUCUUGCUUCUCCCUCCCUCCCACCCUCUCUCUUUCUUCAUUUUUUAAUGUAAGUUUUAACAGCUAUAAAAUUUUCCCCUCAAGUACUGCUUUUGGCAUCUCGUAAGUUUUGGAAUGUUGUAUGAUAAUUUUUAUUGAUCUCAAAUAAUUUAAUAAUUUACCUUGAGAAUGAGAGAAUCUUAUUUGAUUCAUUGUUUAUUAGGAAUGUGUUUCUUAAUCUCCACUUGUGUAUGAUGAGUCUUCUAAAAUUCCUUCUGUUACCGAUUUCUAAUUUAAUUCCAUUGUGGUCAGUGAACAUACUUUGUAUGAUUUCAAUGUUUUAAAAUUUAUUUAAACUUAUUUUGGGUGUUAUUUCUGGUCUAUUCUGAAGAAUGUUCCUUAUGCACUUGAGAAAAAUGUGUAAUCUUCUGCUUUUAGGUGGAGUGUUCUGCGUAAGUCUGUUAGGUGUAGUUGAUUUAUGGUGUUGUUCAAGUGCUCUAUUUCCAGAAUGAUCUUCUUUCUAAUUUUUCUAUUGGUUAUUAAAAGUAGGACAUUGAAGUAUCCACGUAUUGUAGAGAUGUCUGUUUCUCUCUUCAAUUCUGUGCAAUUUUGCUUCAGAUAUUUUGGGACUCUGUUGGUAGGUGUGUAAAUGUUUAUGAUUGUCAUAUCUUCUUAAUUGAUUGACUCUUUUAUCAAUGUUUAAUUGACCCAUGAAACAAUUUUUGUUUGAAAACAAAUUUUGUCUGAUAUUAGUAUAGUCACUCUAGCUCUAUUUUGGUUACAACUUAUAUGAAAUAUUUAUUUCAUGAUCUAAUUUUCAACCAGUUUGUCUCUUUGAAUGUAAAGUGUGUCUCUGGCAGAUAACAUACAGUUGGAUCAUGUUUUUAAAUCCAUUUUGCCAAUCUCUGCCUUUCACUUAUACAUUUUAUACCAUUUCUGUUUAAUGUCAUUACUGAUAAAGGAGGACUACUGCCAUUUUGCUGUUCAUUGUUUUCUGUGUCUUACAUGUUUUUUGGUCUUCAUUAUUGCUUUUUUUGUGUUAAGUAGAUAUUGUUGAGUGCACCAUUUAAACUUCUUUAUUUCCUUGUUGUUUUUACUAUAUAUAUUUUAAGUUAUUUUCUUAGUGGUUGCCCUAGGGGUGACAAUUAACUUCUUAAUUUAUAACAAUCUAGUUCUAAUUAAUACCAAUUUAAUUUCAAUAGUAUAUAAAAUCUUUGCUUCCAUAUUGCUCCAUUUCCCCUGUGUGUUGUCAUUGUCACAAAUUAUGUCUCUAUACUUAUGUACUCAUCACCACAGACUGAUAAUUUUUGUUUUAUGCAGUUAUUCAAGCAUAUGAUAGGAAAAGAGAGGAGUUACAAAAAACAUAUUAAUAUUGGCUUUUAUAUUCGCUUGUGAAGUUACCUUUACUGAUAUUAUUUAUUGCUUGAUGUGGAUUCAAGUUACUGUAUAUGGUCCAUUCAUUUCAGCUUGACCCCCUUUGACAUUUGUUGUAGGGCAAGGCUGCUGUCAAAGAACAUUCUCAGUGUUUGUUGUCUGAGAAUGUCUUAAUUUCUCCUUCAUUUUUGUAAGGCAUUAUUGUCAGAUCAAGAAUUCCUAGUUGAAUGUCUUUUCAUUGCAUAACUUUGAAACUAUCAUCCUACUGCCUUCUUACCCCAUGUUGUAUGAUGAAAAAUCACUUGUUAUUUUAUUGAAGAUCACUUCUAUCUGAUGAGUCCCUUCUUUAUUGCUGCUUUCAAGGUUCUCUCUUUGACUUUCUAUUUGAACAGUUUCAUAAUGAUGUGUUUCAGUAUGAAUCUGUUUGAAUUUAUCCUACAUGGAGUUCAUUAGACUGCUUGUAUAGGUAGUUUAUCACUUUUCAUCAACUUUGGGCAGUUUUGUCCAUUAUUACUUGAAAUAUAGUUUCUGUUCCUUUCUUUCUUCUUUCGUGACUCUCAUUAUGCAUAUGUUGGUACACUGGAUGGUAGCCUCAUAGGACUUUUAGGCUAUGUCCAUUAAAAAAUAAAUUUUCUCUUCCUAUAAUUGGAUAAUUUAAAUUGACUUACCUUUAAGUUAGUUUUAUUUUUUCAGCUCAAGUUGUUGUGGGGCCCUUUCUGUGAGUUUUUCAACACUUGCUAUUGUGCUUUUCAGCUCCAGAAUGUCUACUUGAUUUGUUUGAAAACUUUCUGUCUCUUUAUUGAUACACCUAUUUCAUGAGACAGUGCUUGUGGGGUUCAUCUAGUUCUUAAAUAUGUUUUCCAUUAGCUCUUUCAACACAUUUAAAGUAACUGAUUUAAAAUAUUUGUCUUUGAGUCCAAUGUCUUGGCUUUUCAGGGAGAGUUUCUAUUACUUGUUCUUAUAUUUUUUUCUCUGUGUGUGGGACAUACUUCAUAGUUUCCUUGAAUGCCCAUUACUUUUAUGUUGAAAAUUGGACAUUAUGAAUAUCAUAAUGCGGCAACUCUGGAAAUCAGAUGUGCCUUCCCUGUUUGUCUGUUGUUGCUUUUUGUUGUUGAAGUUGUUUGUGGUAUGUGUUCACUGAAGACUGCUUCAUUAGAUUUGUGGUCAGCUAAAAAUUGGACAAAGAUUUCCUUAGAAAUCCUGAAGACAAAAAAUUUCCCUGCGUUUCAGAAGUCUCUCUGUGUAUGUUAGUAUAUGCCUUUAACACUUAGCCAGGCAUUUUAAGCUUUCCCUUAGCCUCAAUUUUUGCUUGUUAAGAGCCUCAAGUUCACUCACAGAGGAGACCUUAGGCCUUCUCAAGUUUUCCCUGAAUAGGCACAUAACUCUACAUCUGUGCUGCCCUUAUAGAUUAUGAGGAACACAUGGAAUCACCUGAUAGCCAUUACUUCAAAAACACAAAAAAUUCAUUCCUGAACUUUCCUCAUAAGGUAUUGGUUUAAUUUAUUUUCUGUUACAACUGUAAUCCGUUGCAUUAGGCAGCAGCGACAAACAAUGCAAAUUACCACCAAUCUAGCUGCUAGCAUUGAGUGACUUCUGAAUUAGGAGAAAGAAAAGCGAGUCUUUGAACCAGUGUUUUAGGGAGCCAACAUAAAUCAUAAAUUAAAAGAAAUUACAAUUCUUUGGAUAUGAGGUCAGUCCGACUCUUUCCACUACAAGAACCAGGAAUGUGGAGUGUUAUUCUCAAUAAUAUCACUGAGUUGGGGAAUAAGACAUGAGAUUAGAGUCAGUUAAACAGCCCAAAGUUUCUGGAUUUUAGAAAUUGAACUAUGUUUCUUGAUUAAGAGAUUGCCUAGUGACAGCUAUUACUUGGUGAAUUUGCAGAUUUCCAAAAAAGUUGAUAGUGCAAGCAUUUACCACUUUUUCGUUACUGUUUAUGAAGGGACAGGUGUUGGAGUUCCUCAUGUGUCAGAUUUGGUGCUGUCAUUCUCAUUUCACUUUUGAUUUUACCAGUCACUAAUGAAGUUCAUCAUAUCUUGAAGGAUUAUAAUCACUUGUAUAUCUUCACUUGAGAAGUGUCUAUUAAAAUAAUUUUAACAAUUUUAA